CAGCUGUACCAGCAACUUGGGAACUACAUGCCAAGACAAUGUGAACAAGCAACGCCAUCCCCUUCAAAACUCUGGAGAGGAGGCCAAGCAAAAGGAUGUCCCAGGACUGCUCUGCUGUCGAAGCCCCUGUUAGAGGUGUAGGUAACCUAAGAUAUGGAUUUUGGCAUAAUCAGCAUCCCUGGAGCUCUGCAGAGCACCUGCCAUCUCCAAAGGACCCUUGCCAAGCUUGCAAGGCAGCUCCUCCUAAAAUAUACCCCUUAAACACGCAGUCUUGCAUAAUACUUUUAACACGUAAGAACCGACGGGGCUCAGCUCACCGCCAGAAAUAACUUUUCCUGCAGCACAAACGAGCCCUAACUUCAGGCAAGGACGGCAGAAACAGCUUCAUGCAGCGCCUAUGAUGGAGGGUGCCCGUGGGAGGUGGGCAGCCGGCGGGCAGCGAUGUCCCCGUGCCCCCCACCACGUCCGUCCCUGGGGAGCCACUUUCUGCUGCCCAUUCUGGUGCUUUCCAGUGGCUGUUUCUCAAAGCACGCCCCGAGCAGGGCUGCAGGCCAACGCUGUUAGCCCCUCCUUUCUCCACCAGCUUCCGCACAGAUACUUCUGAUUUCAUCACUCUUCGCUCUGUGAGGCAGGAGGACUGAAAACGCAGUGCAAUAGCCCCAAACAGCUAGCAGAGGUCGCUUAACAUGCGCUGGGAAUCCUUCGGACGCUUUGCAGCAGAGGCAGCUGCCCACCCUGGUUUGCUGCGGAGGGGGAGGAAGGGGAGGCUGAAGCACUGGGAGAUUUUUAAGUGACUUCUCCAAGGUUACAAAAGGCAUCUGUGGUUAAGAAAGGAAGCAAAGAAACAAA